UACGUAGGAUCCAAGCGUUUGUCCGGAUUUACUGGGUGUAAAGGGUGCGCAGGCGGGCUGGCAAGUCAGGAGUGAAAUCUCGGCGCUCAACGCCGAAACGUCUUUUGAUACUGCCAGUCUUGAAUAAGCGAGAGAUCCGUGGAAUUCCGAGUGUAGCAGUGAAAUGUGUAGAUAUUCGGAAGAACACCAGCGGCGAAGGCAGCGGGUUGGC
rnacentral:rRNA from 1 species